rnacentral:rRNA from 1 species
GUAGGGAAUAUUGGGCAAUGGAUGGAAGUCUGACCCAGCCAUGCCGCGUGCCGGAUGAAGGCGCUCUGCGUUGUAAACGGCUUUUAUUCGGGAAGAAGAGUAGGGAUGCGUCCUUAUGUGACGGUACCGAAUGAAUAAGCACCGGCUAACUCCGUGCCAGCAGCCGCGGUAAUACGGAGGGUGCGAGCGGUGUCCGGAUUUAUUGGGUUUAAAGGGUGCGUAGGUGGCUUAAUAAGUCAGUGGUGAAAUACGGUUGCUCAACAAUCGAGGUGCCAUUGAUACUGUGAAGCUUGAAAUAAUUGGAGGCUGCCGGAAUGGAUGGUGUAGCGGUGAAAUGCAUAGAUAUCAUCCAGAACACCGAUUGCGAAGGCAGGUGGCUACGAUUUAUUUGACACUGAUGCACGAAAGCAUGGGGAGCAAACAGGAUUAGAAACCCGAGUAGUCC